rnacentral:tRNA from 1 species
GGCCGUCGCAGCCGGGCAGGGUGACCGGUUCGGCACCGGUCGCGAUCACCAGGUGGUCGUACUCGACCGGUCCGGCAUCGGUCUCGACCACC